GACAGAGGGGGCAAGCGUUGCUCGGAAUUACUGGGCGUAAAGGGCGCGUAGGCGGGAUGGUAAGUCGGUCGUGAAAUCCCUCGGCUCAACCGAGGAACGUCGAUCGAUACUACCGUUCUUGAGGAUUGCAGAGGAGACUGGAAUUCCCGGUGUAGCGGUGAAAUGUGUAGAGAUCGGGAGGAACACCGGUGGCGAAGGCGGGUCUCUGGGCAUUAACUGACGCUGAGGAGCGAAAGCGUGGGGAGCGAACAGG
rnacentral:rRNA from 1 species